UUUUUCUUUUUUUUUUUUUUUUUCACACCUAAAAAUAACCACUCUCAGCUCUAGCAGAUGUAUACAAUGUUUUGGUUAAGAAAUUUUGUUGUUUAAACCUAAAACUUAUUAGACUCUAUCAGAAUAAUGGAUUUUCAUCCAGCACAGACUAUUUUUCCUCCAUGUUUCAUUGUUUUACUUUUUGAACUUCAUUGUCAUUCUUUUGAAGGGUUAAAUUAAUAUUUUUUUCUUUUUUAGAGCUGCACCUGAGGCAUAUGGAAGUUCCCAAGCUAGGGGUCUAAUUGGAGCUGCACAGACAUAACAACAUGGGAUUUGAGCCAUGUCUGCAACCUACGCCACAGUUCACAAUUCUUAACCCAGGAGUUCCCAUUGUGGCACAGUGGUUAAUGAAUCCGACUAGGAACCAUGAGGUUGCGGGUUCGAUCCCUGGCCUUGCUCAGUGGGUUAAGGAAUCCAGCGUUGCUGUAAGUUGUGGUGUAGGUCACAGAUGAGGCUUGGAUCCCACGUUGCUGUGGCUCUGGCGUAGGCCGGUGGCUACAGCUCUGAUCAGACCCCUAGCCUCAGGAACCCCUGGGAACCCGAGCUAGUGGCCCUAGAAAAGACAAAAAAAACAAACAAGCAAAUAGAAAACAAUUCUUAACCCACUAAGCAGGGCCAAGGAUCAAACCUGCAUCCUCAGGGAUACUAGUUGCAUUCGUUACCACUGAGCCACUAUGGGAACUCCCAAGGGUUAAACUGAUUUGUUUACUUGGGCUUUAUGUAUUUACUCUGAGAGGCUCUCUAGAGCAGGCACAUGGCUGUAUAAGAUGGAUGGCCCUACAUCUCCGGAAAUCUCAGCUGGGCACAAUCACUUGACAAAUCUUCAGUGUAAUAAAAGGCAAUUCUAGUGAAACACACUGUGAAGCAAAUUCCAAAAGUGAUCAUUCCAGGAAGAAACUUAAACCCCUUGGGAAAGUAUUACCUAGAAUCCAGAGAUACUUCAAGAUGCAAAUGACCCACUUGAGACAAGGGGGCACCUGUUGUUCUGCCUUGAUUAUGUCUUCAGGCCUCAAUUUCAAUAAAUGAGAGAAUAGAAGGAAGGGGUUCUUUUCAUGACCUCUGUCCCCAAGGUAAUAUAGGCAGAGGAGGAAAUACUAGGUGGUAUCCAUUCAUAAUUCUUUCUGAUCAAACCACUUACUGCCAUUUUUAGAUGUGUGUAAAGUAUAACUUUUGUAUAUGUUACCUAUUUUUCCAUAGUAUUAGUAGUGAAACUUAAAAUUUAAAAGAGGGCUUAUUUACUGUCUUUGGAAAAAACAGCAAAGGAAAUUCUGAGGAAGAAAUUAUCACAUAUUCGUGCUGGUCUUGAGGGAAAUAGGAGAUCAGACAGGAGUGAGUGGUGGCAGCAACCAAGAAGCAGGAGGAGAGAGGUCUGCAGGAGAUGGGGAUAAAGCAAAACCUGGGGAGGCCGACACCUGAGACCAAGGCCUGAGGCUUAGCACACAGAGAAUACAAUCAUGAAAUACUAACUCGAAGAUGCCUGUACAUGACCUAAGCUACGCAAAGGACAGGUGAGAAAUCAAUACAUAAUUUAGAGGUAAUUUGUGUUAUUUAACUUCAGUAAUAUUUAUCAGUAAUUUUUCCUGUUUUUGGACUGCUCUUGCAUUUCCCUACCUAACUAGAUCACCUAUUAUCUUAAGUCUCCUACCCACCCAUACUUUUCUUACUACUGCCAUACCAACAAAUUCAAAACCAUAAUUAAAAUUACUUAGAAUAAACUAAUAUAGUUUCUUCUUCCUCCUUUCAAAUGUAUUGACAUUUUCAUUUACCUCCAGUUUAUUUUCAUUUUCUUAUCUCAUUCACAGGAGAUGAAGUGCUUCUACCCCUGAUCAAGGCCAGUCUGUUUUCACAUUGAUACUUGAUCUCAUCUCUUUUCUUGUCAACAAGGACUUUGCUCCAUCAGUAGCUCCUCUAUUUCAUUUAUCUUUGACCUCUAACUUUUGCAGUUAUUUUCCUCAUCUCCUACAUACGGUGUUUUCUUCUGUCUUCCCAUUCUGGGGCUUAGCACACAAAGAAUACAAUCCCAUUUUCAAAUAAAAAACUUUAUACUAACUACAUAUACUAACUAUAUUCACCAUCUCUAAUCAUUCAGAUUUAAUUGAUUGACCAAUACAUUGCAAUUUGUUUUAGUCUUCAUCACUCAAGUUAACAUCUAAGGCGGAAGUCAACAAAAACUCAAUAUUGCCAAAUCCAGAGAGAACAUUCAUUCCACUUGCUGGACCUCCCUAUUGUAUACCAGGCACAACUUUCUAGAACUCUUUGCUCUCUGGAAUUCUGUUAUACUGUUUACUCUAUGUACUUUUCAUUUGUGUACUCUUCCUCUGCCUAUCACUGAAAUGUUGGGGUUGCCCUCAGUUCUCUCUCAAAUUCAUUGCUCUUGUCUUUCUCUGGGCUAUCUUACCUUCUUUUCAAGUUUUAUAUACAAGCCAUGAAUGGCUUUGAUGAGUUCCACCUCCACAUCUUCAAUCCAGGCCUGUUUUCUGAGUUUAUGUUCAUAUAUGCAUUUAUAGCUAGACAUAUCCACUGGGCAUUUCCACAACUUUCUCAAACACAUCAACUUACAUCUAUUUUUUUUUUUAAAUCCUUGCCCAAUCUCAUUUGAUAGUACCACCUAGUCAUUCAAGGAAAAAUAACUUGAUGUCAUGUUAAAACUCUCUCCCAACUUCAUCAUUGGGAUAACUUGUUUAUUUUUAUCCAGAUUUAACUCUUUUAGAGAGAAACCCUCUCAGAAAAUUUCCAUUAAACCUCAGAUUGAGAUAAUUAACUGACAUUGUAUUGUUGUACCUAGUUUAUUUCUUUGUAAAUAGCUUCAGAGUGAUACACUACUAAAAUAAAACUAAGAAACAGUGCCCUUACCUGUCCUUAUAGUUUAAAAAAAGGGGGGGAUUUCUUAAAUAUUUUAUAAUUAUCAAUCAUUGUUUUUUGACGCAGGGUAUUUUCUCAUUUCAACAAAUGGUCAUGAAAUUUACCUUUAAUCACUUUUAUUUCUAUUUUCAUUGGUGUUGGUAGCAUUAAAUAUCACUUACUUGUGUUAAAGAUCCAAAGAUCCAAGCAUAUACACAUAGUCCCUUUCUGUGCUUAGUUUAUUUAUUUAGGUUAUGUCUUUCUGACACUCUUGGGUCCUUCCCCAUGGAUGUUCAAAGAUCGCAUAAUGUUAUCCAAAGUUACAGGUGAUUUUAUUUAGAUCUGAUAAAUGUUUUCAAAGUAAGAAUUGCACAGGAAAAUGUAGACAAAGGAGAUUUUGCUCAAAGCUGUUGCAAUAGUGGACAAAAGCUAUAUGUCAGUCUAAAUUUGACUCUGCUUAAACAACUGUUGGAUGGCUUUUCAGGGAAGGCUGGGAUGAGCUAGUAGAAAAUACUGGAGGAAGUUAUGGAGGAGGUUGAUCAAUGGGAUGUGUGGAGCACAAUGAGUUGUUUUCUAAGUUUGUAAAAUUUUUCUUUGUGAUUAAGCUAUCUAUUUGCUAUUUGGUACUUAUGAAAGUUAGGCUCCUGCCCUGCAACGGAGAAUGGGGGUAUGGGUGCUGUCUUCCUAAAUGAUUACAUUUCAGAAGAUGUCUCCCAGACCCUUAAAAAGCUAUUACUGGGGAGUAAAACUGCCAAGAGGUUUUUAAAAGAAUUUACAUGUAUCUCAGAAGAGCAGAGAAAGAACUGAAAAGCAUGGGUAGGUAGAAAGAAAAUUCCUGACAAAGGAGUUCCCGUCAUGGCGCAGCAGAAACGAAUCUGACUAGGAACCAGGAGGUUGCAGGUUCAAUCCCUGGCCUCUCUCAGUGGGUUAAGAAUUUGGCAUUGUCAUGAGCCUAUGUGGUUUGCACAUGUGGCUUGAAUCUGGCAUUGCUGUGGCUGUGGUAUAGGCUGGCAGCUGUAGCUCUGAUUAGACCCCUAGCCUGGGAACUUCCAUGUGCCACAUGUGUGGCCCUAAAAAAGCAGGAAAAAAAAAAAAAAAAAGCAAAUUCCUGACAAGGAAAAGCAUGGGAAGUUCAGGUAUAAAGUCUAGUCAAGAUGAGGGAAACAUAAAACCAUCUUGGUUAAUGGGCAUUUUAAGAAUAUUCAAAUUUUAUAGAUAUAUGUUAGGGGAAUAUGCCUAUAGUUCCAUUUUUUUAUGAAAUUUUCCUCAGAGUAAGAGAACUAAAGACAUCGUGGGAAACCAGUGUGAUGUAAAUGAAUUUACAUUAAUGAAGAAAUGGCAGUCUAACAUUUCACGUGAGUUUGCAUAUUAAAAAAAAAAAACAGUUCAUGUAGGUGACACUCUAAUGGAUGUGACAAAGUU
rnacentral:lncRNA from 1 species